rnacentral:rRNA from 1 species
GGCCCUACGGAGGCAGCAGUGGGGGAUAUUGCACAAUGGGGGGAACCCUGAUGCAGCGACGCCGCGUGGGUGAAGGAGCGUUUCGGCGCGUAAAGCCCUAUCGGCAGGGAAGAAGAUGACGGUAUCUGACCAAGAAGCCCCGGCUAACUACGUGCCAGCAGCCGCGGUAAUACGUAGGGGGCAAGCGUUAUCCGGAUUUACUGGGUGUAAAGGGGGCGCAGACGGCAAUGCAAGCCAGGAGUGAAAGCCCGGGGCCCAACCCCGGGACUGCUCUUGGAACUGCAUGGCUGGAGGACAGGGGGGGG